rnacentral:lncRNA from 1 species
CAACUUUUCAAAGAUUACAAAAUAGCCCCACAAGUGGAUAAAUCCACUAGGGAGGCCGGCCACUUAAUGGGGGAAUGGGAAGUCUCACCCACAUGCUUUAAUUCAAUGCAAAGUAGAAAAAUCAAAAUUUUGCUUGUCACUUGGUUUUGGCAUUUAAAACUUAGGUGAAAAGGUUUGAUGGAAAUCUCCUAGUCAAGUCCAGGGUUUUAUAAGUAUAUGAUAUGGUUAUGGAUGGUAUGAACAUCACCCAAAACCACAAAACAAUGCAUUAAAACCAUUUUCAUCAAAAACCAAACUAUGAACACCAAGAACAAAACCAUGAACACUUUUUCAAGAUUUGUGUAUUCUUGGUGAUUUUUCAAACCCAAAAACAAAAGUGACAAGGUUUAUUCUUUCUAGCUUUAAAAGGAUGUGAGAGUGGUUUACAAUAAAACACAAACACAACCCAAAACCACCCCCAAAACCGUGCCAUCCCUUUGGUUCAAAACCCCAAAUUUUGUUCAUGACUUAUUCUUCAUUCAUGCAUCUAAAACACCCUUUUACAUGCAUAUCUUUUUCAACUCUUGAUCUUAUAUUUUUCAACCAUUGAAAAACAAAAGAUAAACAUACUUUAAAAUGAAGAAAUAAUAUGUCAAACUAGUUUUAAACUCAUUUUUCAUUCAUGCAUACAAAACAUCUUUUGCAUCCAUACCUUUCUUAACUAUUGACUAACAUUUUUCAACUAUUGAAAAACAAAAGAUAAACAUACUUUGAAUGAAACAAUAAUAUGUCAUACAUAACAUUAAUACCCAUAUGCAUAAAAUCCAAAAGGACACAUUAUACAUAAACCUUUGGCUCUGAUACCACUUGAAGGGAAAUCUAUGAGAUUCAUGUAUGGGAUUUCUAAAUGACUAUCAUGCAUAUCCAAAACAAUUAUGAUAUA